rnacentral:rRNA from 1 species
CCUACGGGUGGCAGCAGUGAGGAAUAUUGGUCAAUGGGCGCGAGCCUGAACCAGCCAAGUCGCGUGAGGGAGGACGGCCCUAUGGGUUGUAAACCUCUUUUGCCGGGGAGCAACGUGCGCCACGUGUGGCGUCCCUGAUAGUCCCCGGAGACAAAGCAUCGGCUAACUCCGUGCCAGCAGCCGCGGUAAUACGGAGGAUGCGAGCGUUAUCCGGAUUUAUUGGGUUUACAGGGUGCGUAGGCGGAUCGUUAAGUCAGUGGUCAAAUUGAGGGGCUCAACCCCUGCCCGCCAUUGAAACUGGCGUUCUGGAGUGGAAGAGAAGUAGGCGGAAUGCGUGGUGUAGCGGUGAAAUGCAUAGAUAUCACGCAGAACCCCGAUUGCGAAGGCAGCAUGCCGGCUUACGACUGACGCUGAAGCACGAAAGCGUGGGGAUCGAACAGGAUUAGAUACCCCGGUAGUC